rnacentral:rRNA from 1 species
UACAGAGGGGGCAAGCGUUGUUCGGAAUUACUGGGCGUAAAGGGCGCGUAUGCGGCCUGCUAAGUCGAACGUGAAAUCCCCGGGCUCAACCCGGGAACUGCGUCCGAUACUGGAAGGCUUGAAUCCGGGAGAGGGAUGCGAAAUUCCAGGUGUAGCGGUGAAAUGCGUAGAUAUCUGGAGGAACACCGGUGGCGAAGGCGGCAUCCUGGACCGGCAUUGACGCUGAGGCGCGAAAGCCAGGGGAGCAAACGGG